rnacentral:lncRNA from 1 species
AUGGAUGAAGAAACUGCUACAGAUUCCUCCCCUGGGGACGCAGUGUCUUCCAGAGACCCGGGGGAGUUCGAUGAGGAUGAAGAAAUUCACGACUUUGAGAGAAGACAAUCUCCCGAUCUGGGAGAGACCCCUAUGGACACCCUGGUUUGGCAUCAUGUGGACCAGGCGUUGACUCCAGCUCAGAGCUACACAUCGAUGUCUAGUCAAAGGGAAUCUGAUGUGGAUGGAGACAGUGAAUCCAUUACAGGGGUGAAGCUGGACAGAACCGGUUCGUUCUCCAGCUGCUACUCUUAUGACAGCGAUGACUGUGAGAAGAAAACAAGCAAGUCUAGAAGUUCAGAUGACUCCUCUGAGAGCCCUAAAACAAAUGAGUUAACCCUGGACGAGAACGAGUUCAAGCAUCCGUCUUUGACAGUGGCUUUCACUUUCACGUGACUUGGAGAUCAAGCUUUUGCAGCAACAACAUGAAGCAGACCUGUUUUGAACCCCGUCCUCCUUCACAAGUACCUACAGUCGGGACCAUAAAUAUCUGGACAGAGAGCCCUUUUUUUCUGAUUUUGUUUCUGUACAUUACCACAGUGAAUUUUAAAUAAACUCAGAUGCCAUUGAAGUGCAGACUUUCAGAUUUUAUUCCAUGGGUUGAACAAAAAGAUUGCAUAAAAAUGUGAAAACCUAAAGCAUUUUUAAACACAAUCCCUUCAUUUCAUGGGCUCAUAAGUAAUUGGACAAUUGACUUCCAUGCUAUUGCAUGGGCAGGUGUGGGCAAUUCCCUUGUUAUGUCAUAAUGAGUGAAGCAGAUAAAAGGCCUGGAGUUGAUUAGAGGACUCAUGCUUGCAUUUUGAAGAUUUUGCUGUGAACAGACAACAAGCGGUCAAAGGAGCUCUCCAUGCAGGUGAAAGGAGCCAUCAUUAAGCUGAGAAAACAGAAAGGAAAAAAAACAUUCCAGAAAUUGCUACAGUAUUAGAAGUGGCAAAAUCAACAGUGUGGUACAUCCUGAGAAAGAAAGAAAGCACUGAUGAACUCAGCAACGCAAAAAGACCUGGACGUCCACAGUGACAACAGUGGUGGAUGAUGGCAGAAUCAUUUCUAUGGUGAAGAGGAACCGUUCACAACAGCCAACCAAGUGAACAACACUUUCCAGGAGGUAGGCGUAUCAAUAUCCAAGUCUACCAUCAAAAGAAGACUGCAUGAAAGUAGCCAGCACAGUUCUGGAAAAACAUUCUUUGGACAGAUGAAACCAAAAUCAACCUCUACCAGAAUGAUGGCAAGAGAAAAGUAUGGAAAAGGUGUGGAGAAGCUCAUGAUCCAAAGCACACUACAUCAUCAGUAAAACACUGUGGAGGCAGUGUGAUGGUCUGGGCGUGCAUGGCUGCUAGUGGCACUGGGACACUGGUGUUUAUUGAUGACGUGACACAGGACAGAAGUAGCCCAAUGAAUUCUGAGGUGUUCAGAGACAUACUGUCUGCGCAGAUCCAGGUGAAUGCAGCCAAACUGAUUGGGCGGUAUUUCAUAAUACAAAUGGACAACGACCCAAAACAAACAACCAAAGCAACUCAGGAGUUUAUUAAAGCAAAGAAGUGGAAUAUUCUUGAAUGGCCAAGUCAGUCACCUGAUCUUAAACCAGUUGAGCAUUUCACUUGUUGAAGACUAAAUUCCGGACAGAAAGGCCCACAAACAAACAGCAACUGAAAGCCGCUGGAGUAAAAGGCCUGGCAGAGCAUUCAGAAGGAGAAAACCCAGCAUCUGGUGAUGUCCAUGACUUCAAGACUUCAGGCUAUCAUUGUCAACAAAGGCUUUUACACCAAAUAUUAGUAAUGAACAUUUUGUUUUCAGUUAUUUCAUUUGUCCGAUUACUUAUGAGCCCAUGAAAUGAAGGGAUUGUGUUUAAAAUAUGCUUUAGUUUUUCAUAUUUUUAUGCAAUCUUUUUGUUCAACCCAUGGAAUAAAAGCUGAAAGUCUGCACUUCAAUGGCAUCUGAGUUGUUUUAUUUAAAAUUCCCUGUGGUAAUGUACAGAAUCUAAAUUAGAAAGAAUGUGUCUCUGUCCAAAUAUUUAUGGUACUGACUAUAUCAAUUACUUUUUUGUUUAUUUUCUACAUUAUCAAAUGUAUAUUUAUUUGCUGCAGUGAGAAAAAUCUUGCUGCAUAAACAGAUCCUCAGUACAUCCAAACUAAACCCAAAUAUUACAAUUCCUCUGCCGUGCCUUUACAGUAGGGAGUAUACACAGACAUGCAUCAAGUGAAUUAAUACCUUUAAUUUACAAAUUAUUUACCACAAGCAUAAUCGAACAAUAGGACUAGUUACUUUAGUAUUUAGUAGACGUUCCUUUUGCAAUUUGUAAUUAAACCUUUUUUCUUUUUUGGCUUUUAGCCGAUGAGCUUCGUCAGCAGCUUUUAAAUAGUUCUCAUUAAACAGGAAAUCUUCCUCACCGGGGGGCCAGAUAGGGCGGGUCAAAAGUCUGUUGAUUUUUUUUUUUCCUUUGGCCUUUGAACAUAGACUGUAAAAACGAUGGACGAAUCGAGAUGUGAUGUCACCCAUUGAAAAUGCCUUACCUCCGGCUCGCGCCAAAUGAGGCCAAAUCCCUCACCACUGCAUCCUGAUACGAGCGCCGCCAUAUUGAAACCAGUCAACAGUAAUCAUUCCAAGACUCUUUGAAUCAUCGUAUGGCAACUACUGUCGCCAAACAGGAGUGAGCUUAUUGUGAGUCCCCACUUCUUUCCACGCUGUUACCUCUUUGAACGCUGCGUUUCAGUUGACUAUGAAAUUCUGUAAAUUGGAUUUGCGAUACUAAAUCCCUAAUGAAAACACGUCAAUUCGGAAAAAACUUGAAUUUAUCAAAAACAAGUUUUUGCGCUUGGAGGAGGUUGUUUUUGAGGCCUAUCAAAAUGGAUGUAUUUCACAAAACUGCAAUGGAAACACAUUUUUUUAAUUUUAGAAUUAAAU